CCAGCCCAGAGGAUUAUCUUCCCAAAUCAGCCCAGCUUCUAAAGCCUGUUUUUGUGGAAAAUGUUGGUUGUGUUACCCAGCUACCCAAUGGGGCCGUGUGGGUUCACUUCAAUGACGGAUCCCAGCUGGUGGUUCAGGCCGGAAUGCCCUCUAUCAGUUACACCUCCCCAAGUGGCCAGACUACUCGAUACGGGGAAAAAGAAACAUUACCAGAAUACAUCAAGGAGAAAUUACAGUGUCUGUCUUCUGUCCUGCUGAUGUUCGCUAACCCUACUCCAGGACCCCCCUGAUUAAAAGCGUUCGUUUGGAUGCUCUGUGGCAAAUGAAUGACUUUUUGUUGACUUGAAGGGAAGUGUUUUUAUUCAUCCCAAGCCAGCCACUCCAGAAGAGGAUUUUAACAGGACUGCAACGUGUGUAUUUUAGCCAAGCUGCAAAGUCAGAAGGCAACGUCCCAAGCUCUUAGGCAAUGCCCGAUGCCCCCACCAUUUGUGUCUGUAUUUAUGUGUUUGUUGUGAAGUGAACAUGUCUAUAGUCUACACGUAGAUGGGUGAGAUGUUCCUUGCUUUUAUUGGUUUUUUCAGACAGAUCGGGAAUCAUGGAAAAUGUGGUUUUAGGAUUUUUAAACAUGUAAAGAAUUUGUAAAUAUGUUACUACUAAUGUAAAAUUGUAUACUUGUUUAUAUCUUUAUUUUUGUAGCACCAAGUUUCUAAUGAAACGUUCCUACAAAAGGGUUUUGUUGGGGGGAAAAAUGGAAAAGAAAUAAAUGCAGUGUUAAGAGCCCUUAAGCCUGGGUUCAUUCAUUUAACAUGUCAAAAAAUUGAACAAAAAGCUUGUUUU